GCUUGCUCCUCGGGUGACGAGUGGCGGACGGGUGAGUAAUGUCUGGGAAACUGCCCGAUGGAGGGGGAUAACUACUGGAAACGGUAGCUAAUACCGCAUAACGUCGCAAGACCAAAGUGGGGGACCUUCGGGCCUCACACCAUCGGAUGUGCCCAGAUGGGAUUAGCUAGUAGGUGGGGUAACGGCUCACCUAGGCGACGAUCCCUAGCUGGUCUGAGAGGAUGACCAGCCACACUGGAACUGAGACACGGUCCAGACUCCUACGGGAGGCAGCAGUGGGGAAUAUUGCACAAUGGGCGCAAGCCUGAUGCAGCCAUGCCGCGUGUAUGAAGAAGGCCUUCGGGUUGUAAAGUACUUUCAGCGGGGAGGAAGGCGAUGCGGUUAAUAACCGCGUCGAUUGACGUUACCCGCAGAAGAAGCACCGGCUAACUCCGUGCCAGCAGCCGCGGUAAUACGGAGGGUGCAAGCGUUAAUCGGAAUUACUGGGCGUAAAGCGCACGCAGGCGGUCUGUCAAGUCGGAUGUGAAAUCCCCGGGCUUAACCUGGGAACUGCAUUCGAAACUGGCAGGCUAGAGUCUUGUAGAGGGGGGUAGAAUUCCAGGUGUAGCGGUGAAAUGCGUAGAGAUCUGGAGGAAUACCGGUGGCGAAGGCGGCCCCCUGGACAAAGACUGACGCUCAGGUGCGAAAGCGUGGGGAGCAAACAGGAUUAGAUACCCUGGUAGUCCACGCCGUAAACGAUGUCGACUUGGAGGCUGUUUCCUUGAGAAGUGGCUUCCGGAGCUAACGCGUUAAGUCGACCGCCUGGGGGAGUACGGCCGCAAGGUUAAAACUCAAAUGAAUUGACGGGGGCCCGCACAAGCGGUGGAGCAUGUGGGUUUAAUUCGAUGCAACGCGAAGAACCUUACCUACUCUUGACAUCCAGAGAACUUUCCAGAAAAUGGAUUGGUGCCUUCGGGAACUCUGAGACAGGUGCUGGCAUGGCUGUCGUCAGCUCGUGUUGUGAAAUGUUGGGGUUAAGUCCCGCAACGAGCGCAACCCUUAUCCUUUGUUGCCAGCGAUUCGGUCGGGAACUCAAAGGAGACUGCCGGUGAUAAACCGGA
rnacentral:rRNA from 1 species